GCUUCUUUAGCUCAGUUGGUUAGAGCGUCGUGCUAAUAUGAUUCAGAUUCAGUUACGCGAAGGUCAUAAGUUCGAGCCUUAUAAGAAGCA